CUUCCAUUCAUUGGAUUUUCGACUCGGAAACCAAAAUCGAAAAGGGAUUUCAAGACACUAUUUGGGUUUCAGAUUCUAAAAUAAAAAUCACACAUCAGAUUUCUGUUUUUCUACCCACUCACAGUAAAUGAUUAUUGAGGCAUUUUGUGGGGAAGGAAAUUAUUUGUAAAACUAUAGCUCGAUUUUCUAUAUUUUUAUUUUCAAUUUUACGUUUUUAUUUUUAAAUGAACCCGGAAAUAAAACUGGAAAAAAAUAAUUAAGCGGAAACAGUAGAUAGCCUACCUAUGUCUUAUCCAAUCAAGCAAUUGAUGGGUAUAGUUAUAUACUUUUCAAAGGAAACAAAAUGAUCACUUUAAAAGACUCGGACACGAACGCCGAAAAAAUUGGCAGAAUAUUUCAGGUGAAUGGCUUCGUAUUUAAAUAAUAUAAGUUUUUUUUCCAGUGCUGUGCGUACCGUGGAUAUCGUUUUAGAAAUUUAGAUAGAUAAACGAUGGUAAUCAAAUAGUAAUUUUACUUGUUUUCGUCGUUGUUCUGUUACAGUUUACAUCUUAAAAUUAAGAUUGUUUUAGAUGGGGAAAACGUGUGGUUUAACAUGACAAUGUGGCAAUAUUCCCUGGAGCAAAUGGCCAUUUUAGCUGUCUUGACCUUAACCCUCGUGGCCACUACGAAAUGCAUGGAAAUGAUGCGCAAUCGGUGGCAGAGAGCCCUCAGCCACAGCCCGACCAUCGCUUUCGAUUUUUGCGCACAGCACCACCCUCAGCUGCUGCAGGGUCUCCAAAUCCAACUACUGUCACAGUACCCCGAGCAAACAUGGUGAAGACUUUCCAAAGGUAUUCAGCUUUCCCCGUCAUGGUAUCAAUGCUUCAAAGAAACUAAGAGAUGUAGGAAACUUUAUAGUUGUUCUUUCAGAAAAAGCCAGAUCAUUGUGAAUACUGUAGAUUUUUUGUGAGGUUUUUAUUAAGCAGUUGUUCUAACAACAAUUCUAGGUUUGUGUUUGUUGCUGAGCUUGACCAUGGGAAGCUGAGACCUAACCGAAUGGUUGUAGUCCGAUUCAGUGAAUUUGAAGCUUCAACUGAAGGUAUCCUAGCAAAAGUUCAAGAUGCUCUUCACACCGAUGACCCUUUCAUCCUGACUGAUGCCCAGGGAAAUGAGAUUGUAGACUGAUUGUAGGGAACAGAAGGCUCUGUUUACUGGAAGCAAAAUUCCCGUAAGGUCUAUGCAGUCCCAGAGCAAGUCUUCAGUGAGUACCAGCAAGGAAUAAAAAGAAAAAGGUAAAAUGAAUCUGCUGUUGUUAUGAUUAUUACUCUCCUUGUUUUACAGGAAUACUUUUCAUGUUAAAAUGUAAGAACAACUGCUUGGUUGGGCAAAUCACACUUAUGCACAUUCAUAAUUCACACCUUAUUCAGUUCCUCCAUAGUGGUAGUAGUAACCUAUUUGGGAUAGUCUGUGUUUGCUUUGCUAGUUGAGAUGGGUCAGUUUGUCUUAAGUAUUGUUGACUUCUUUUUGUGUUCUUACAGUCAAAAAGAGGAUGCCACAGGUCUUCAGGAAAUCCAUGAUAAAAUUGAGGAAGUUCUCCUGGCAGCUCAAGGACUGAGUGAAGUAACAGCAGCCAUGAAAGUUCUCUCAAGUCUUGUCAGCAUCACAAAUAGUACUGUACUGAUCUUGAGUAACACUGGCGUAGCACAAAUCAGGGAGGCCUUCGGAUGCAUGGUGUGUAAAGGACCAAUUGAAGACCCAAUGAUUGCCACCUGCUGUAAUAGCUUUGUAGGCUGCAAAACCUGUGUAGAGCAGUGGAUGGCCACAUCUACCCAGUGCCUCAAAUGCAGGACGGAUGAUUUUUCUAGUCAUGCACACAGAGUAUCUGGCCUUAACGGUGCUCUCUCAGCAUUGGCAGAUAUAAUUAAGGUUGAAU